rnacentral:rRNA from 1 species
UAGGGAAUCUUCCGCAAUGGACGCAAGUCUGACGGAGCAACGCCGCGUGAGUGAAGAAGGUUUUCGGAUCGUAAAACUCUGUUGUUAGAGAAGAACAAGUGCUAGAGUAACUGUUAGCGCCUUGACGGUAUCUAACCAGAAAGCCACGGCUAACUACGUGCCAGCAGCCGCGGUAAUACGUAGGUGGCAAGCGUUGUCCGGAUUUAUUGGGCGUAAAGCGAGCGCAGGCGGUUCCUUAAGUCUGAUGUGAAAGCCCCCGGCUCAACCGGGGAGGGUCAUUGGAAACUGGGGAACUUGAGUGCAGAAGAGGAGAGUGGAAUUCCAUGUGUAGCGGUGAAAUGCGUAGAUAUAUGGAGGAACACCAGUGGCGAAGGCGACUCUCUGGUCUGUAACUGACGCUGAGGCUCGAAAGCGUGGGGAGCAAACAGGAUUAGAUACCCUGGUAGUCCACGCCGUAAACGAUGAGUGCUAGGUGUUAGACCCUUUCCGGGGUUUAGUGCCGUAGCUAACGCAUUAAGCACUCCGCCUGGGGAGUACGACCGCAAGGUUG